rnacentral:misc_RNA from 1 species
UGGAAGGAGUGGGUCGGCAGGCUCUUUGCUUGUGCAUCGAACUGUCGACCGCCCUUUUGCUUCAGUUGGUCCCCGAGCGCGUUACGCCUUGCGGGUGCAUUAGGUAUCCUGUGUUGCUUACCCACGUAAGGGAAUUCGAAAGUAUUUGUUGCCYUUGUCCGCCUUGUGCCUCUCGGGGCAUGGGGUGGACGCUAGGCGGGCUCUGUGAUCCCGGCGUGCCAAGCAAAAGUUUGGCUGCCGCGGCCCAUGGGGUCUCGCUCGUUCUCUCGGAUGCGGAAUGCAAAGCGUGGGCGUGAGGUCUCCACCUCGACUCGUCCAAGCCAACGCACUGUUCUCGGACAGACUCGAACGACUGUCGUGCCCGUCUUGACCGGCCUUUAGGGGGCGGCUCAUGCGGCAUUGGCGUCGGAAAGGAAUGYUAC